rnacentral:rRNA from 1 species
UAGAGUUUGAUCCUGGCUCAGGAUGAACGCUGGCGGCGUGCCUAACACAUGCAAGUCGAACGAAGCACUUUCUUUAGAUUCUUCGGAUGAAGAAGACUGUGACUGAGUGGCGGACGGGUGAGUAACGCGUGGGCAACCUGCCCUGUACAGGGGGAUAACAGUUAGAAAUGACUGCUAAUACCGCAUAAGCGCACGAGGACGCAUGUUCUUGUGUGAAAAACUCCGGUGGUACAGGAUGGGCCCGCGUCUGAUUAGGUAGUUGGUGGGGCAGCGGCCUACCAAGCCGACGAUCAGUAGCCGACCUGAGAGGGUGACCGGCCACAUUGGGACUGAGACACGGCCCAAACUCCUACGGGAGGCAGCAGUGGGGAAUAUUGCACAAUGGGGGAAACCCUGAUGCAGCGACGCCGCGUGAAGGAAGAAGUAUUUCGGUAUGUAAACUUCUAUCAGCAGGGAAGAAACUGACGGUACCUGACUAAGAAGCACCGGCUAAAUACGUGCCAGCAGCCGCGGUAA